UACGUAGGGGGCAAGCGUUGUCCGGAUUUAUUGGGCGUAAAGAGCGUGUAGGCGGCCUGACAGGUCUGCUGUGAAAACUCGAGGCUCAACCUCGAGAUGUCGGCGGAAACCGUCUGGCUAGAGUCCGGAAGAGGAGAGUGGAAUUCCUGGUGUAGCGGUGAAAUGCGCAGAUAUCAGGAAGAACACCUAUGGCGAAGGCAGCUCUCUGGGACGGUACUGACGCUGAGACGCGGAAGCGUGGGGAGCGAACAGG
rnacentral:rRNA from 1 species